UUAAAUCGUUGAAGAAACCUCCAACGUUGUCCCGACGUUCCGUUACAAACUGUGAGGCUGUUGAAGGGAACUUUGAUACUUGUGAGGGGAGUGCGGCUUGUGUGUGCAUCGCCUCACGUGUACGUAACGAAAGACAGCUACACAAAAGCACUGCACCUCGUCCGGAGGGAGAUCACAGGUGACAUUGAAUAUGGAGAAUAUUGAUGCACAGAGACAAAAUAGACUGUCAAAUAAUCCACAUCAAUACCAUAACUCAUCAGGAAGCGAGAAUUAUGACGAUGAAGGAGAGAAGCCAAAUAAGAAAAUGAGAGUUGCAGUUAUGUCAGUCGAGGCCAUUCAGUGCUGCUCAAUGGUGGGCCUGCCAUUGCCACCAGAAUUCAUCACUCACCCAGCUCUGUCUGAGUUUUGCUCACAAACAAGUGCCUCAACGUCCAAAGACAUACUUCACAUGAUUAGAACCCCUUCGCCGCUUGGACAGACGUCAACAGGAAGUUCACGACCAGGGAGCUAUUCAAUAGAAGGUGAAAAAGAUUACAAGAGCAAAGUUCUACUCAAACUGGACAUCAUUAUAGAAAACCAGGCGGAGCAAUUGCACCUUUUGCAAACACUUGCAAACAAAGCGGUUGUAAAUGAGACCUUAGAGGAUGUUCUUCCAAACCCAUUCAACACGACUGAUGAACUUGAAGAGCUUUGCUGUAGAAUUAGCACAGACAACAAACUCAAAAAGCAAAUGAUAUCCCAUCUGAGUUCACUGGGUGGAUGUAACGUUGGGGACAGUGUCCACCGAAUGAUGAGAACGCUCGGCACCAAUGCCAUGUGGUCAAAGUACAGCCUCAAAGGGAGGAAAGGGAAGCUGUCCCUAAUAGAUCUUCCAGUUUUCAUGGUGCUGACGAGAGCUUGCUUAAAGAACCACCCAAGAGCAAAGGUGAAGGAAAUAGAGGGAGAGAUUGCAGAAACCCUGAAGCAUGCUCCCAACAAACGAGGAGGGGCAAAUUACAAGGAAUCUGAAGUCAGGACUUUAAGAAAUGAGCACCAGUCCAGCCUUCCCUUGUCUUUCUCUGACACUGAUCUUUGCAAUUAUUAAAUCAAUACAACCUUCAAAUACCAUUUGUAAAAGUUUCAUAUCUUGGCCUAUAUAUAUAAAAGCAAUUUAAAGUAGCUGACAUUAAUGGCAAAAUGUUAUCUCUAGCUUCUGUACUAUAUUAGUUUAAGUGUAUAUUAUUUGUACUCAAUUUGUACUUUUUAGAGUGAAAAUAAAUGUUUAAUGUCA